rnacentral:lncRNA from 1 species
GAAGUAAUAUCUGGACUUUGAAAUUGUUUCCUUAACGACAACAAAAAAGGGAGUAAUCCUACCUACUGUAAGAGUCAUGACUCUUGAUUGCAGCUGACAGAAGCUCAUGACAGCCUGGUUUAGAUAAAAGGGGAAAGGACGACUGGAAGAAUCUUGGAGUUGGGAAUAUGGCACAUAAUUGAAGGAAGAGCAAUAAAACUAUAGCAGCUGCUCCCAACCCCAGCAACUUUGCUAUCUUAGAACGGAUCACCAGUGAAAGAGGGGAAGUUGCUACUGUGAUGAAUUCUGCCAUGUGGUACCAGACUGCUGCCCAGACCACAGUGUCCUCUGCAACCCUGGUAACUCACAUACAGGCCUGAUUCCACCUACAGCAAAGCUGGAUGCUAUGGUUGGCAGAGGCAAGCCCCUUGCCUGCACUUCAGGCCAAAGCCGGGAUGUGGCCUAGAUGGUUCCUAAGGUCCCUGACAGUCCUGAGAUCUUUCAUCUUGUCUAUUUCAGGUCAAAGGUGCCUACAUGUUCCUUCUAGCUUUGUUUCCCUGAUGUUCCUUGCCACCUGCUACUCCUCUCUGAGCUACUUUUCCAGGUUCCACAGGGAGAGGUUCAGCUGUCCAUGGUAGACAUGAGGGUAGAGAAUGAGAUGGUUGGGUUCCACUUACCUUUCUAUCAUCUUGCAGUAUGGAUGUCUCUUGACUGGUACCAUGUAGACUUUUGAGGGCAGACAGGAGUCUGCAGAGAGAUACUGGGGAUAUUGAGCAGCAGCAAUGGGGUUGGG